rnacentral:rRNA from 1 species
GCGAUCUACCAGCACUAAUGCAACCGGAUCCCAUCAGAACUCCGAAGUUAGCGUGCUUGGGCGAGAUAGUACUAAGAUGGGUGACCUCUUGGGAAGUCCUCGUUUUGCACCCC